rnacentral:tRNA from 1 species
CAUUAAGAAGCUAAAUCAGCAUUAACCUUUUAAGUUAAAGAUUGAAAGUCUAAACUUUCCUUAA